GUGGUCACUUCUGCAGCACAUAUACUAAAAAUUGGAAUGAAACAGAGAAAAUUAUCAAGGCCCCUGCUCAAGGAUAGCAUGCAAAUUCAUGAAGCAUCCCAUAUUAAA